GAGGGUAUAGAUCAGUGGUAGACAGCCUGCUUAGCAUGCAUGAGGUCCUGGGUUCAAACCCCAGUACCUUCA
rnacentral:tRNA from 1 species